rnacentral:rRNA from 1 species
AACGAACGCUGGCGGCAUGCUUAACACAUGCAAGUCGAACGAGACCUUCGGGUCUAGUGGCGCACGGGUGCGUAACGCGUGGGAAUCUGCCCUUGGGUUCGGAAUAACAGUUAGAAAUGACUGCUAAUACCGGAUGAUGUCUUCGGACCAAAGAUUUAUCGCCCAAGGAUGAGCCCGCGUCGGAUUAGCUAGUUGGUAAGGUAAAAGCUUACCAAGGCGACGAUCCGUAGCUGGUCUGAGAGGAUGAUCAGCCACACUGGGACUUAGACACGGCCCAGACUCCGACGGGAGGCAGCAGUGGGGAAUAUUGGACAAUGGGCGAAAGCCUGAUCCAGCAAUGCCGCGUGAGUGAUGAAGGCCUUAGGGUUGUAAAGCUCUUUUACCCGGGAUGAUAAUGACAGUACCGGGAGAAUAAGCCCCGGCUAACUCCGUGCCAGCAGCCGCGGUAACAC